AAGGCUUUUUACUCACAAUUUGAGAGAUGUAACGGCUGAAGCCUAAAACCUAAAACCAAUUCCCUAAACCUAAAAUCAAUUCCUCUUCCCCAUUCUCUCACAACACAGUCCGCCGCCUUCCUUGGGGACGGCGAAAUCGCCGCUCCUCCCUCUCUUUCACGCAAUCCGCCCUCUCCUCCCUUCCUGCAGUUCCCGGCGAGCAACGUCUAAGACCGCCACCGCCGUCUCAACCCCCGAUUCUCCCUCGCCCUUCCCCCUAUCUACAGAACCCUACGCCCGCAGUGGCUCAAGACCACGGCCAUGUCGUCCGCCACCGCGCCGCGCCGGCACCCUCCGCAUCUCCCCCCUCCCGUCUCCACACAAGCUCUCCUUUCCCCCGACCAUAGCCAUGGCACAGCCGCCGCCAAUGGCUGCCCGAGCCUGUCACCACCGCCGUCAAUGGGUGUCUCGCACAUUUGGACUAAAGACUUUUCGUUGGUCCUCCCGUCUUGACCCGCAACAUAUAUUUGUCAAUCUCCGUUUCAUAUUUUUUUGCUCAUUGCAGGCGCAAAUUUCUCAGUUUCCUCGAAUUUCUCAAGAUAGGGGAUUCAAUGAUUGCUUGAUUCUGGAGGGAAAUUAGGGUUGAUAAGAUAGUGAGGAAAGGGAAAAAAAAGAUGGGUUAUUUCAAGCAGGCGCUAAGAAGCAUCGAUGCGUCGCACUCCAGCCCUCUCUGCCUCGCCCCGACCUGUCCCCUUCAAUAAGUCGGCGCCGCCGCCCCUCAGUCCGCCGCUAUCCCCAGCAGAUACGUCAGCCACGGAAAUCGUUUCCAGUUUUCAGUGAAUCCAUCUGCCCUGGCUUGCAAUGACUCUGAGCGACGUGGUACGGUAUUUUGAAAAUAGUUGUUGCUCGCUGCCUAUGGCUCAUGACCAACUAUUGUUGAGAUAUGAGUUACAGGAAGAUCAUUCCUUAUUAGGGGAAGAUGAAUUCGAGUGAUCUGGUCAAGGUUCAAAUUAAGUCAUGUCUCGAGUUUUGGCUGGGCAAUAGAGAAGCCAGUUACCCUCCUAUGGAGGAGCUCUGGAAAUGCAAGUUCUGCAAGUUUGCCUCUGUAUGUCCAAUUAACUUAGACCCAGAUGAUUCUCCAAGCAAAACGAAAAGUGAAGGCAUUCCUUCGCCUGAUCCGACUCCUAAGUAAGCCAUUCUUCAU